UUGGAGGGCAAGUCUGGUGCCAGCAGCCGCGGUAAUUCCAGCUCCAAUAGCGUAUAUUAAAGUUGUUGCAGUUAAAAAGCUCGUAGUUGAAUUUCGGGAUCAGUACGCUGGUCGUGCCUUGGUAUGUACUGGUGUUACUGGUUCCUACCUUCUGACGAACCGUCAUGUCAUUAAUUUGGUGUGGCGGGAAAUCAGGACUGUUACUUUGAAAAAAUUAGAGUGUUUAAAGCAGGCUCGCGCUUGAAUACAUUAGCAUGGAAUAAUGAAAUAGGACGUUCGAUCCUAUUUUGUUGGUUUCUAGGAUUGACGUAAUGAUUAAUAGGGAUAGUUGGG
rnacentral:rRNA from 1 species